GAUCAUUUGGGUAUAGAUUUGACAUUCACAACUUUUCAAAUUUUGACUUUUUGUACUAUUUCCAAAUGUAGUCAUAGUCACUGUCAUAGAAACACAGUGAUGAAAUUUAAAGGAAAUCAUGGUCAUGUGUCUUUAAAAACAUAGGUGAUUUCAAAUCCUAUUUUCAUGUAUCUUACUUUUUAAAACAGGAGCUUCCCUGGUUGCUCAGCAGUAAAGACUCUGCCUGCGAUGCAGGGGAUAGAGACACAGAUUUGAUCCCUGGCUUGGGCAGAUCACUCAGAGGAGGAAAUGGUAUUACAAGAAGAAUAUCUCAUCAAGACAAAUAUUUGACUUCAGCCAGUUUUGACAGUUUUCAAACAAUUUUGUUUAGGUUCCUGCAAAUUUUCUGCUGGAAUGUUACAUGAUAUUGUCUUCUCUGUCAUUUCUCCCAUCAUUCAACAUGAACACAUAACUCCAGAAACAAGAAAAUGCUUUCAGACCGACACCUAUGAAACUCCAAAGGAGCUUCCAGCACAAGCAGACCAAUGAGGAGGUGGUUUGAAGAGAAGACUCUUCUUGGCAUACCUGUAACUGAAGUCAAGAAAGUAGCCAUUCAUUCAUUCAGCCAUUUAGUCAUCUACCCAUUCACUCAGAACAAAUUUUUGAGGUACUUACUAUUUACCAAGCACUGUCUUGGCCCUGAAUAUACUAAAGUGAUCAAAGUAAUGAUUCUAGGAACUAAUAUACUUAUUGACCUAGUUGAGGAAACUAUGACUCAUGGAGUUCUGAGGGAAUAUAAUGGUAAAGUUGAAAUAAUUGGGUGGGAAAUUGAACAAAUGUAUUAACCUCUACUUUUCACCAAAUCCCAAAAAAAUGUUAACAAAAUGAGUCAACAUCAAAAAAGGACAAUGAAAAGAAGAACUAAGACUACAGCAAUAGAAAUCUGGAAACUAGAAAGAAAGACAAAGUUCCCUCACCUAAAAGAACGAAGAGGUUUCCAGUUUUAGCAAUAACAUGUAAAGAGCUUGGAAAUAACCGCUAUUACAAUUUUUAAAAAGAAUAUUAAUGACUUUUCUUGAACCCAUCAGAAAAUGCAGGUUUCAGGGAAAAUACUAUACUGGCUUUGUUGUUAUUGUUUAGUUUCUCAGUCUGCCUCUUUGCAACCC
ensembl:lncRNA